CCUACGGGUGGCAGCAGUGAGGAAUAUUGGUCAAUGGGCGCGAGCCUGAACCAGCCAAGUAGCGUGAAGGAUGAAUGCCCUACGGGUUGUAAACUUCUUUUAUAAAGGAAUAAAGUGAGGCACGUGUGCCUUUUUGUAUGUACCUUAUGAAUAAGGAUCGGCUAACUCCGUGCCAGCAGCCGCGGUAAUACGGAGGAUCCGAGCGUUAUCCGGAUUUAUUGGGUUUAAAGGGAGCGUAGACGGGUUGUUAAGUCAGUUGUGAAAGUUUGCGGCUCAACCGUAAAAUUGCAAUUGAUACUGGCAGUCUUGAGUACCUUUGAGGUAGGCGGAAUGCGUGGUGUAGCGGUGAAAUGCUUAGAUAUCACGCAGAACUCCGAUUGCUAAGGCAGCCUGCCGGCUUCCGACUGACGCUGAUGCAC
rnacentral:rRNA from 1 species